CGCAAAAUCGCAUCACCGUACAUUUGUUGGUGGCGAAUGUGUAUUUUGUUAUGAUUUCAUUUUAUUUUUUUCCAUUUUCAUUUGUAUUUAAUGAUUGCUGUUUGUAC
rnacentral:ribozyme from 1 species